rnacentral:tRNA from 1 species
GGGGGUGUAGCUCAGUGGUAGAGCAUUUGACUGCAGAUCAAGAGGUCCUUGUUUCAAAUCCAAGCGCCCCUU